rnacentral:tRNA from 1 species
GAAGCCCCGGCACCUUUUUGGGUGCUUCUCCAGACUUGCAAUCUGACGUACGUCGUACUACGGGA